GAUAGCUCAGUUGGCAGAACAUGAGAUUCUUAAUCCCAGAGCCGUGGGUUCAAGCCUCACAUCG